rnacentral:ncRNA from 1 species
CCAUAAACACACUGUAGUAGGUCUGGCUUUCAGUAAUCUUGUAACUUUCUCUGCGAGUAUCCGCGCCCCGGUGAGAAUGCCCUCCAGAUCUUAAAGAUCAAAAGGAGCAGGUAUCAAGCACACCUAUAACGGUAGCUCAUAACGCCUUGCUCAACCACACCCCCACGGGAAACAGCAGUGAUAAAAAUUAAGCCAUGAACGAAAGUUUGACUAAGUUAUAUUAAUUAGAGUUGGUAAAUCUCGUGCCAGCCACCGCGGUCAUACGAUUAACCCAAAUUAAUAGAUCCACGGCGUAAAGAGUGUUUAAGAAAAAAAAACCACAAUAGAGUUAAAUUAUAACUAAGCUGUAAAAAGCCCUAGUUAAAAUAAAAUAACCCACGAAAGUGACUCUAAUAAUCCUGACACACGAUAGCUAGGACCCAAACUGGGAUUAGAUACCCCACUAUGCCUAGCCCUAAACCCAAAUAGUUACAUAACAAAACUAUUCGCCAGAGUACUACUCGCAACUGCCUAAAACUCAAAGGACUUGGCGGUGCUUCACAUCCACCUAGAGGAGCCUGUUCUAUAAUCGAUAAACCCCGAUAGACCUUACCAACCCUUGCCAAUUCAGCCUAUAUACCGCCAUCUUCAGCAAACCCUAAAAAGGAACAAUAGUAAGCACAAUCAUAACACAUAAAAACGUUAGGUCAAGGUGUAGCUUAUGGGUUGGAAAGAAAUGGGCUACAUUUUCUACAUAAGAAUACCCACCAUACGAAAGUUUUUAUGAAACUAAAAACCAAAGGAGGAUUUAGCAGUAAAUCAAGAAUAGAGUGCUUGAUUGAAUAAGGCCAUGAAGCACGCACACACCGCCCGUCACCCUCCUCAAGCAUGUAGUAAUAAAAAUAACCUAUAUUCAAUUACACAACCAUGCAAGAAGAGACAAGUCGUAACAAGGUAAGCAUACUGGAAAGUGUGCUUGAUACCAAAGCAUAGCUAAACUAAAGCAC